AGUUUAGCCAGCCGGCGCGCUCACCGUGGAACAGGACUCCCAGUAAAGAGAAGAGAACGCAGCUACGGGCUCUAGCCGCUCCGCUCUGCUGCAUCCCGACAGCUCUCCAGAUGCUUGCACACCUUGUUUACGGCUCCCAGUAACGACACAGGUUGUCUCCACUAAGAAAACUUUUCAGUGAAGAAGCAGAAACCAAAUGUCAAGUAAACAAGAAAAGAAGCAAGAGAGACAAAUCCUACAGAAGCUUUAGAAUACCAAGAGUCACCAUCAGAGUGCAAGAAGAUUUUCCCAGAACUGCCCAGCCUUACGAUGUUAUCUCCACCACUU